rnacentral:lncRNA from 1 species
UCCAGUAUGGAGGUACGACUGUUUUUACUUAGAAGCUGACUUUUUUCCCCCUUAGAUUAAAAAAGAGAGAGAGAACCAUUACAGAAAUGAAUCCAACACAGUAAAUUAAAAGUAGAAAAGGAAAUCAGCAAAGGAGUAAACAACGGCGGGAUUAUAAGGUAAAAAAUAGAGAAAGUUCAUGAAAUAGGUACCACAAGAGUGUACAGUUACUAGAGGUGAAACAAAAAUCUAAUUUUGAGUACCUUAGUAGCCAAAUCUAAGAAGAAAGUAUAGUUUUAAGAUUCUCCAUGCACUUACCGACACAUACAGUCACACAUACACAUUCUCACUUUCACACACCCACUUAACAUUCUCAUUCACACCUGCAUUCACACUCACUCAUACAGAAACACACACACACACACACACACACACACACACACGUGCGCACACACACCCCAGCAGUUGCUUCUCAUUAUACACAUAGCUUUUCCUUGUAUUGAGGUUUCAAAAUAAAUGUCUCCCCUUUAAAGGAGAAAUAUGGUGAGAUAAAGUGGCCUGCCUCCCUACAAUCAGAUACACAAUACAUGAAAGACUUCCGUGAGCUAAAGACAUGAUAUGACUCCCCAUUGUCAUGAAAUCAGCUCUCUGAUGAGACAAAGUAGUCUUUCAAAACCACAUCUUUCAGCUCUCCAAUGCUCUGGCUGGAUGCAGGAACAACUUUUGCCAGCAAACCCUCAGUCAUCACUAAGAGUUCACGAUGGCAAUAGAGAAAUUGCAAUCCUUUACCCGUGAGACAUUUAAUUUUGAGAAGUGUAACUUCCUGGUGUUGGGUAAAAUGAAUUCCUGAUGUGACCUAUCCCAUCAUGUCACAUUUCUGUAUAUAAAACAAUUACAUAUCAGAAGGGUCACUGUAUGGGCUCUGAAAGCCGAGCGAUUGAGCUCAAUUCUCAUUCCCACUUUUUCCUAGAUGGGAAACUACUUAUUUAACUACUUUCAGCUUGUUUCUUCAUCUGUAAAAUAAUAGUGUUACUAUCCACCUGACAGAGAUGUUAUGAAGAUUAAAUGAGAUAAUCCAUGCAAAGUGCUGAACACAGAGACCAAUACAUAGUAAGCAUUUGAUGAUAGCCAUUUUGAAUUUUGUUGUUUGCAAAAAAAAUCAAUCUUAGAGAAAAAAAAUCUUGAGUGAGUCUAUGUGGUAAUUAUCACUUUCACUAUUUCAUAGGAUUUGUUUCAAAUUCAUGUUAGAACUCAAUACCAUCUGCCUAGAGGGGAAUAAACUAUUCUCUAUAGAUAGGGGUCCUGCCUUUCACUCAGACACCAUGAAUUUUUUUUUUUUUUUUUUACACAACAGUGGUCUAAACACAAUUGCAUUUUAUGGAGCUUCAAAUAAUUAGACAACUUGUUUUUGUUUUCAUUUUGUCUUUUUUAUGGCCACACCUACAGAGUAUGGAAGUUCCCAGGCCAGGCGUCAAAGCAGAACUGCAGCUGGCCAGCCUACGCCACAGCCAUAGCAAUGUUGGAUCCAAGCCAUUUGCAACCUACACCACAACUCACUGGAUCCUUAACCCACUGAACAAGGCCAGAGAUUGAACCCUCAUCUUCAUAGAUAAAAGUUGGGUUCAUUACCACUGAGCCAUGACAGGAACUCCUAGAUAAGUUAUUAAUGUCAAAAUACCUGGUGAUGCUGCUUUCCUAAGGUUAGGGUUUGGAGUUUUCUUGUGGUGCAGCAGGCUAAGGAUCCAACAUCGUCACUGCUGUAGCACAGGUUCCCUCACUGGCUCAGGAACUUCCACAUGCCACAGGUGCAACAAAAAAGAAAAAUAAAAAACAAAAAGAUUGAGGUUUAAAGCCUGUGUCAGCAUAUAUAAUAAAACAAACUCCCUUUACAUGAAUUAAUUGACUUCAUAAUACAUUUCUUUGUGUUUAAUCAAUAUACUCUACAAAUAAGUUGUUACUCUUUCUUAAAGACUUUCACCAUGAGGUGAUAAAGCAUAUUAAAAAGACUAUUCACUAGUUGAUGAAUAAGAUUUAAGCUGUCUGUGCUUCUACGUCUGUGUGUCUAUAUGUAAGAGGAUAUGGAGCUUCAGAAAUACAGAUUAUUUUGGACAAAGAAGAAAAUGGCCUAGAACAUAGAUACGAUAACCAUUAAAAAUUUGAGCCUCGGAGUUCCCGUCGUGGCUCAGUGGUUAACGUAUCCAACUAGGAACCAUGAGGUUGCGGCUUCAGUCCCUGGCCUUGCUCAGUGGGUUAAGGCUCUGGCGUUGCCGUGAGCUGUGGUAUAGGUUGCAGAUGCAGCUCGGAUCCCUCGUUGCUGUGGCUUCGGUGUAGGCCGGCAGCCGCAGCUCCGAUUCCACUCCUAGCCUGGGAAUCUCCAUGUGCCACAGGAGCGGCCCAAGAAAUGGAAAAAAGACAAAAACAAAAAAAAAAAAUUGAGCCUCAAACUGUACAGAACAACAGGAUUACCCUUUAAAAUAAGGACAAAUUUCAUUAAGUUAAGCAGAAAUUAUUAGUUACCACGACCAAAUCAUCUUUUUUUGAUAGAUUUGUUUAACUUUUAGAGAUCAUAAAGCUAAUAAGUUCCAACUGUUGACUAAAAUACAGAUUUUCUAAUUCAUUAUUAUUAUUAUUAUUUAAGGUUUUUUUGUUUUGUUUUGUUUUGUUUUGCCUUUUGUCUUUUGGGGGCCACACCCACAGCAUAUGGAAGUUCCCAGGCUAGGGGUCUAAUCAGAACUGUUGCUCCAGCCUACACCAGAGCCACAGCAACAGAUCCGAGCCGUGUCUGUGACCUACACCACAGCUCACGGUAAUGCCAGAUCCUCAAUCCACUGAGCAAGGCCAGGAAUCAAACUCGCAACCUCAUGGUUCCUAGUUGGAUUAGUUUCCACUGCACUAAGAUGGGAACUCACGUGUUUUUGUUUUUGUUUUUUUAGGUUAUUUUUUUUUUUUUUUUUUUUUUUUUUUUGGAGCACAUUCAAACUAAAAAUCCCAAAAUGUGAAACUGAUACUGUGAUGCAUUGGUUGAGCAGAGGCUAGAGAUCACGAUUCCUGCCCUUUCAUCUUCCCAGUACUACCUAGGAGUGCCUGACGAAUCUCAGGAAAGCCUUAGGAUUCAGAAUAAUACAAUUUGAAAAAUGUGAUGUCUACUCUAUAUUUUUCUAAUAAUUUAUACGAUUGAAAAGAUCUUUUAAACUACAGUACCGCAUUUUGUGCUCAUUAAAAACACAAUCUUUAGAGUAGAUAUUAGCCCUCAUUAAUACAAAAUGCAACUAUAUUGAGUUAAAUUAUGUGUUUGUUCAUAGUCAUACAGCUAAUUAGUAGGUGAAAAAGCAAAAUUAAGACCUAGGUCAACUAUGACAUCAUGCUCAUAGAUCUAUUUUGUUGUCCAGAGUUUAGUUUCUGUGUGUUAUAACCACCAUGGCUAAAAUUAGUUUCUUGAACCAAGGAUUAAGUCAAAGAAAGACCAUAGAGGCUUCAUUAACUCUAGUCACCUUUUAAAUGUAAAUUCUAAAGACUUCCUUUUUGGUUUUACAUAUAAUGUUUUCCUCCUAUAAACGCUGAUGUCCUAGUCCCUCUCAUGGAAUCUCUUCCACAUGUGCCCCUCCAUUCUAUCACCUGCUUAGACAGCCAUGAGGAGCGCUGGUGUUUUUCAAGAAUAGUACAAAAGGCAUCAAGCAUUUAGGGGAUCUCUAUGCUGCGGGGUAGUAUUAUCAGUGAAAGAAGCAAAAUAUCAACUUUCAACUUAGCAUUAGUUCUAUUUUCAUAAAUACUACCAGAUUGAAAGUAAGGGGAUGCUGGAGUUUCUACCUGGGAAGCACUUACUAAUAUAGACCCCCAAGGCGGGAGGCCAGUUGCAAGGGAAGGUCCAGCAAAUUAGAGUUACACUUUAGAAAGGGAGGAUAAAUGGUUACCAACUUACAGGUAUUAUUAUUAUUAUUAUUAUUAUUAUUAUUUUAGUUCUCUGUUGGUGAGAUCUAGGUUUGAUGUGUCUUCUACUUGGGGAAAUUCUCAAGGUUUGUACAUGUGCCAGAGCUUCUGUAUUAUCUCUUCCUUCAAUACAAUGGGUGCAUUUCAAUAUAGAGAGAGUAGUUCUCUAGACAAAGAAAACAAAACAAAACACAACAAUAACAAAAAACACUACCUGGAAAUAAAGCUUGCAAAACAUCAAUUUUUUAAGUUUUAGAGUGACAUGAUAAAGGGUGGUGCUUCCUGAGCGUCUAGAAGAAAGCACGAACCCACUGAAACUCCUACAUCAACAGCCUGGGUGACCAAGGCAGGGGAUCCUGAACUUCUUAGGCUCUAUUUCCAUGUCUGAAGAGGAAUAACUUCUUAAUUGCCCGGAUCAAAUCCAAACGGGAGAGUGAGUACUAAGGGGCAGUCACAAAAUACCAAAAUUGCAGUGAAAACCUUGAUUGUUAUUUAGUCUCUAUUUCCAAAAAAAAAGUGGUUAAAAUGCUUAAGAUAUAUUAUGCAGAACUGAAUUUGUCUCUCUGUGGCAUCAGUGAAGGAUUUGUGAUAUCUGAGUUUUACCUAAAAUGCAAUAGAGAUGCUGAUAACCACAUAAUAAAAUUAAGAAAAUUGUAGCAUAAAAUGAGGAGUCUGUAUGGGUACUCUUGGGGAAUAAUUCUGGGAAAUAAUCUCAACCUUAUAUGAGUCUCUCUUCAGCCUGGCCAGAGCAUUCAUGGCAAGAUUCCAAAGAGGAAUCUUUUAACAGAUUUAAUCCAGAAGAAGUAUUAUUUAUGGACUAAUUUUUUAAUAACAGAAGUUCUUUGGAAACUGUUCUGCCUUUGUGCUUUCUAAAACAGUAGUCAUCAAACUAUAGUCCAUAGUCCUUCAUUUAUUUUUUGUAAACAAAGCGAUAUUAGAACAGAGUCAUACUCAUUCAAUUACGCAUUGCCUAUUGUGUUUUCACAGUACUAUGAAUAAAAUACUUAACACCUGAUCAAAAGAUAAGAUAGAGUUUGCCAAACUGUGUUUUAAAAUACAUUUCAUAUAUCUCUUUAAACACUGGUAAUAUUUAAUUAAUAGUACAAGCACCACUUUUAUUAGCAAGGUAUGGAAUAAAAGUGUAAUAUUUUAUCUAACUUAUUGUUAAGGGAUUAAAUAUUAAAUUAUUUGACAGUUAGUUAGGCCCUAUAGAUUCCCUCAUGCUUUUUUCUUCCAUAUAUGAAAAGAAAUAAUUUAAAUAUCUUUAAUGCUUCUCUUGAAAACAUAAAUAAAUCUUUGAGUUCCGGUUGUGCAGUAGCGGAAGCGAAUCUGACUAGUAUCCAUGAGGAUGCAGGUUGGAUCCCUGGCCUCCAACAGGAGGUUAAGGAUCUGGCAUUGCUAUGAGCUCUGCUGUAGGUUGCAGAUGUGGCUCAGAUCUGGCUUUGCUGUGGCUGUGUUGUAGGCUACAGGCUCUGAUUCGACCCCUACCCUGGGAACGUCCAUACACCGUGGGUG